rnacentral:rRNA from 1 species
UCCACCUUUUGACAUGCCCUGACCGCCGGAGAGAUCCGGUUUUCCCUUCGGGGACAGGGACACAGGUGCUGCAUGGCUGUCGUCAGCUCGUGUCGUGAGAUGUUGGGUUAAGUCCCGCAACGAGCGCAACCCACGCCAUUAGUUGCCAUCAUUUAGUUGGGCACUCUAAUGGGACCGCCGGUGGUAAGCCGGAGGAAGGUGUGGAUGACGUCAAGUCCUCAUGGCCCUUACAGGGUGGGCUACACACGUGCUACAAUGGCGACUACAGAGGGCUGCAACCCUGCGAAGGUGAGCUAAUCCCUAAAAGUCGUCUCAGUUCGGAUUGCACUCUGCAACUCGAGUGCAUGAAGUCGGAAUCGCUAGUAAUCGCGGAUCAGCAUGCCGCGGUGAAUACGUUCCC